rnacentral:rRNA from 1 species
GCCUACGGCCAUACCACCCUGAGAACGCCCGAUCUCGUCUGAUCUCGGAAGCGAAGCAGGGUCGGGCCCGGUUAGUACUUGGAUGGGGAGACCGCCUGGGAAUACCGGGUGCUGUAGGCU